AUGAGGGGAUAAAAGGCUGGGCUGAAGAACAAGAAGGGCACAUAUCUGCAGCCUUCUGAAGUGGUGAGGUGUUGUUCUAUAUGGACUGAAGCUUUCUGAAAUUGUGUGGUGUUACUCUGUGUAUUGUGGCUGUCUCAACUGCAACUUAUGCUGUGACAUAUGCUGUGACACAAAGCUGCCUCCAGCCCUGGGGUCUCAGCACAGGAAAGACAUGGAGCUGUUUGAGCAAAUCCAGAGACGACCACAGAGAUAUUCCAAGGGUUGCAGGCCCCUCCUGUGAGGAAAAGAAAAACCCUGCUGGGCAGGAAGGCUCCUGUCCCUCCAGAACAGGCACUGAGAUUUUGGGCAGGAAGGAGCAGAAGGCUUGUGGCUAACUCCAGCAUCCCAGGUGGGUGAGGGGGAAACCAGGAUGCCGUGGGAGGACACUUGUUUGAAUGCCACCCUGAGACUCCUCCCCACAGCACUCUGGUUUCCUCAGGUUCUGUAUGUUAAUGACCCCAGUGACAUCAUCCCUAUUCUCCUCCCCAGUUCUGGAAAGUUCACUGUCUCCAGUUUUCCCAUUGGCUUACCUUUGUAGACACUCCCCCACUGUAUCCCCGUUGGUUGUUUCCUCCUUGUCCCGCCUUCAUUCCACCCCUAGUCCCUUUACCCAUUGGCCCUCAAACUAUGAUAUCCUGCCUACUCCUGGCUGGUUUUAACUGCUGGGCCCUGCUCUGUUCGGGGCUCUGCUCUCCCUGUCUAGUUUCAGUGUGGUUGUUAUUAAGCUGCCAUUGGAACUUCAUACAAAGAGUCUCUCCUGCUUUCUCUAUCAGCCUGUGUUUAUCAAUUGACUGUGUGAGCAUCUGGUGCCUGCCAGAGCUAUCCACCUUGUCCAGAGAAAGAUGCUCUUGGGAGCUUGGCUGUCUCUGCAUCAUCUGCCAUGUGCUCACAGCUAACUACCCCUGCUACCUAGGAGGAUCCCUUGCAGGCAGAAAGGCUCCUGCUCCCCCAGGACAGGAGCUGUGGAUUUGGGCAGAGCAGUAGACAUGGACACUGUCAGUCUGUAGUAGCUGCUGGAUUCUGCCAUGGAGGAUGCCGCCAAGGACGGGACACAAGAACGGGAACGUGCCCCCG